rnacentral:rRNA from 1 species
GAUGAACGCUGGCGGCGUGCUUAACACAUGCAAGUCGAACGGUGAACACGGAGCUUGCUCUGUGGGAUCAGUGGCGAACGGGUGAGUAACACGUGAGCAACCCGCCCCUGACUCUGGGAUAAGAGCUGGAAACGGCGUCUAAUACUGGAUAUGUGACGUGACCGCAUGGUGUGCGUUUGGAAAGAUCGUUCGGUUGGGGAUGGGUUCGCGGCCUCUCAGCUCGUUGGUGAGGUAGUGGGUGACCAAGGGGUCGAGGGGUAGCCGGCCUGAGAGGGUGACCGCCCACACUGGGACUGAGACACGGACCAGAAGCCAACGGGAGGCAACAGUGGAGAGUAUUGCACAAUAGGCGCGAGCCUGAGGCAGCAGCGCCGCGAGAGGGAUGACGGCCUUCGGGUUAUAAACCUCUGUUAGCAGAAAAGAAGCGAAAGUGACGGUACCUGCAGAAAAAGCGCCGGCUAACUACGUG